rnacentral:lncRNA from 1 species
CCUUAUCUGUGAAAACGACGGCAACAUUCUUCGCUUUCUCAAACAAAGAUACAAGACAGAAUACCUUGCCAUCAGUACUAUAGAAGAUAAAUUAAAAGAUUCCCUACUUCCUAUCCAAAAAGGACCGGUGACUUGAUAUUAUGAAAUUAUUGAAAAAUCAUCGAAGAUCAGAUUUUAAAAAUAAGGAAACGAAAGAGAACUCAAGCGUAAUAACAGUGUUUGUGACAUUAGGAGAUCAGUCGCCAUCUUAAUUUUCCAACUGUUAGAAAAUUAGCAGCAAACAUGAUGCCACAGCCCGUUUCUCAUUUGAUUUAAGCGAAAAGAAUAAAAAGACAACUUCAUACCUGCAGCCUUAUCGAAGAUUUCUCAACCAUGACGGAAGCGGCCACUGAAGAUGAGGGGUCAUGUCUGAUGGCAGUAUCUUGGCGGCCUCAUCGACUGAGAGGUGAUCAGUCCAUGGGCGAUGGCCAUCGGAAACAUGAAAACCAUUCAACGAUUGGUACUCCACACUGCCUUUCAGAGUGGUGCACUUCCACCAAAUUGAUUCUCUUCAAUAUCGAUGAUAUGUAUUCUUUAUUUUUCGAAGGCCAGGAACCCAUAAUUUUUGUUAUUGCUGCUUCCGCAUAUGUCGGUUAUACAUAGGUCAGACACUGCAAAUGUUAAUAGAAUCUUUUCUUUUUUUCAAAAAAAAAAGUAUCACUCAACAUUUCAUAUAAAAUUAAUUCAACAAGGGUAUCUUUAAUUAAUCAAAUGACAACAGAAAGCAAAAAAAAAAAAGUUGAAUAAUAAAACCUACACUUGUCUCCAAG